UGAGACAGUGUGUCCUCCUUCA
rnacentral:miRNA from 1 species